AUUGAACGCUGGCGGCAUGCCUUACACAUGCAAGUCGAACGGUAACGGGCCUUCGGGUGCCGACGAGUGGCGAACGGGUGAGUAAUGCAUCGGAACGUACCUUUCAGUGGGGGAUAACGUAGCGAAAGUUACGCUAAUACCGCAUAUUCUGUGAGCAGGAAAGCAGGGGAUCGCAAGACCUUGCGCUGAUUGAGCGGCCGAUGUCAGAUUAGCUAGUUGGUGAGGUAAAGGCUCACCAAGGCGACGAUCUGUAGCGGGUCUGAGAGGAUGAUCCGCCACACUGGAACUGAGACACGGUCCAGACUCCUACGGGAGGCAGCAGUGGGGGAAUUUUUGGACAAUGGGGGGCAACCCUGAUCCAGCCAUGCCGCGUGAGUGAAGAAGGCCUCGGUUGUAAGACGUCUUUCGGU
rnacentral:rRNA from 1 species